GAAUGGCACCACGAAGAUUAUACUGUCUCCCCUUUUUAAUCAGUGAAACUAAUCUCCCCGUGAAGAAGCGGGAAUAAAACUAUAAGACGAGAAGACCCUAUGGAGCUUUAGACUACAUAACAAUUGCUAUCUAUUUAUUUAUCCCCCGGGAACUCAAUUAUAUUUAUUCAUAUUGAUUUCUAGUCUUAGGUUGGGGUGACCACGGAGUAAAAUACAACCUCCAUGAUGAAAGAAACUUAAUUUCUUAACCCAGAGUUACAACUCUAAGUACCAAAAAUUUGACAUAAAUUGACCCAAUUAUUUGAUCAACGAACCAAGUUACCCUAGGGAUAACAGCGCAAUCUACUUCAAGAGUCCUUAUCGACAAGUAG
rnacentral:rRNA from 1 species